rnacentral:lncRNA from 1 species
GCGGCUCAAAAGACAAGAGUAGUCCGUCGUACGACUUCGGGCGUCGACGCAUUUCCCACGCGACCACCUGUUGGUCUUACGCCAGACGAGCCGUCGACCACCAUCCCAUCUAACCCUACGCAUCCCUUGCACUGAUCAUAAUAGAAACCGGGGAGGGCGAGAGGCAGAUCAUUUAGGGAGGGAGAGAGAGAACGAGAGGAAUUCUCCACCUCCGCUCGAUUCCUCUCCUCAAGCUCCUCUUCGUGAGCGAGCGAGAGGAAUUCUCCACCUCUGUUGGAUUCUCCUCGAUUUCCUCUUCGUCAGAGAGAGAGAGAGAGAGAGGAUUCUCCACCUCCAUUCGACUCCUCUCCUUAAGGCUCCUCUUCUUCGUCUUCCUUCCUUGUCCACCUACUUUCCUCACCGAGAAGGCAAAUGGCGUUAGCAGCAGCGGCGGCGGGGUAUGUGACUAUGAGGGCGGAGA